UACUCGCCCAAAUGGACUGCGUUUGGCAGACACAGAGUGGGAGUGAUUGAGAGACAUGUUUGGAAACAAUCAUUAUUUGUGCGGUUGCAUGCAGUGCUGUUAUAGUACACAACCGACACACUCCUGCUUUAAAUAAACAUCUGCUUGUGUUUAAAUGCUUUUUGGUAUAUCUGGACGGCACAAGCGCUGUUGUGAGCGAUCUGUGCUCAGCAUUUCCUCCUGCGCAGCUGCAGUCUGUCGGUCUGCUCCUGGUUAGCACAGGCUCUCUGUGAUUUACCUGCUGUCUGUCUCUCUUUAAUGUCUUCCAUCUGUAUGACAACAGCCCUGAAACACACUCCAAAACAGAUCUGACUCCAAACAAGACGCGAGUGUCACGGGAGGCCAGGAACUCACCGUCCAGAUAUCAGGAAAGCUUGAGUCAUCAUGAGCAUGUUAGACGACAGACGAGACUGCGGAUGACAUUCAAACACCUGCUGUGCUCACCAGAAAAAAUAUGACCUUUGACCUUUGGGAAACAACAAUACAUGCAUGCUGGCCACCGAUCGGCUGUUUGCAAGGCAGGACAAGACUUUAUGAAGAGCUCCUACUGGGGCAAAAGCAUCCAACUCCACAGGCCCUUCACACUAAAUAAACUUAUAUGUUUGCACAAGAUGGCGCGCCACAGAGGAGCCAGUGGGGCGUGUUACCGCACUCGCUCGCCAGUCCCAGGGGCUUUACGGGCAAUGUGGACGUAAAGGUGACAGAGACAGACUUGUAAGAGGAUCCUGGUUGUAACUUUCUGAAACAUCGUCCAAAUCAAACGCUAGCGGGAUGCUCCGCUCUCUGCUUUCCUCUUUACGACCGCCUAUGAUCGCGCUGUGGCCUCCUGCUGGAAAUCACAGCUAAACCUUUGAACCCAGAGCGCUGCGUCCGAGAGCGUGUGUCGGAUCCAGCACUUCCCCUCCUUUACUUAACCUCUGACCCCUCCGAACCCUACAAGUCCUGCAGUUCUGAGGCCAAACGCGAGGAACAGGAAGUAUAGGGUUACACAUUAAAUAUGCGCAUGUCAUAAGUCAUAAAUCGGCUAGCGGCGUCGCUACUGAAAUGGCAUGUGGCACACAGUGUGGACUAAUAAAUUUUUAAAGCAUCGACUUCCAUCGGAAUGAUGGGGGAUGGAAGCUGAGGAACGUGAAGCGCAGGAUGGGGAACAGACAGCCAGUUGUGAAUCUUUGUAAUAUAACUAUUAGUCUCUUUCAGGCGGGAUGCCGUCGUGCGUCCAAAAAGCUUCGGGAGGCGUUAUGACAAAUGAUAUUUCCUUUGAUUCCUUCUCGAGCUUCUUAUUAAACCACGUCGACAUCAGCUGAUACGGGUCUCCACACAGACAGAACGUAAAUAAAGACAGCAGGAAUUGAAAAGGGUCACACGCAUGUUGUGUGUCAAGCAGAAGAAGGUACGUUCAUAUCUGCAGACUUUCUAAGUCAUUUUCACUUGUAGCAUCUCAGCUUUCUUCUUAAAGCCAA